rnacentral:rRNA from 1 species
GUCCACGCCGUAAACGAUGAGUGCUAGGUGUCGGCCAGCUUGCUGGUCGGUGCCGCAGCUAACGCAUUAAGCACUCCGCCUGGGGAGUACGGCCGCAAGGUUAAAACUCACAGGAAUUGACGGGGGCCCGCACAAGCGGUGGAGCAUGUGGUUUAAUUCGAAGCAACGCGCAGAACCUUACCAGCCCUUGACAUCCCGGUCGCGGUUAGUGGAGACACUUUCCUUCAGUUCGGCUGGACCGGU